CGGGUGGGAAACCCGCCUUUCUGUGGGGGAUAACAUUCCUAACGGGGUGCUAAUACCGCAUGGUUCGUCGCAUCGCAUGGUGCGACGAUAAAGAUGGCCCCUACAUGUAAGCUGUCGCAGAAAGAUGGUCCCGCCUCCCAUUAGCUUGUUGGUGGGGUAAUGGCCUACCAAGGCGACGAUGGGUAGCCGGCCUGAGAGGGUGUCCGGCCACACUGGGACUGAGAUACGGCCCAG
rnacentral:rRNA from 1 species